GACGAACGCUGGCGGCGUGGAUUAGGCAUGCAAGUCGAACGGUAUAAACCUUUCGGGGUUUAGAGAGUGGCGAACGGGUGAGUAACACGUAGGUAAUCUACCCUCAAAACGGGGACAACCCAGGGAAACUUGGGCUAAUACCGGAUGCGUGCAAGCAAUGUUUUGGCUGUUAAUGCUAUUCACGGAAGUGAGUAGUGUUAAUGGUUGAGAGCAUUAUUUGCAUAAAAGGUGGCAUAUGCUGCCGUUUGAGGAUGAGCCUGCGUCCUAUUAGUUAGUUGGUGAGGUAAUGGCUUACCAAGGCGAUGAUAGGUAGGCGGCCUUAACGGGUGGUCGCCCACACUGGGAUUGAGAGACGGCCCAGACUCCUACGGGAGGCAGCAGUCGAGAAUAGUCUACAAUGGACGGAAGUCUGAUAGUGCGACGCCGCGUGAACGAAGAAUCCCUUCGGGGUGUAAAGUUCUUUUAUACGUGAGCAGUGCCCUUUAUAUGAAUAGUAUAGAGGGAGGGAUUUAAGCGUAUGAAUAAGCAACGGCUAACUCCGUGCCAGCAGCCGCGGUAACACGGGGGUUGCAAGCGUUGUCCGGAAUUACUAGGCGUAAAGUGCAGGUAGGCGGAUAGAUAAGUUUAAGGUUAAAGGCUACGGCUUACCCGUAGUAAGGCGUUAGAUACUGUUUAUCUGGAAUGCGGUUGAGGGAGACAGAAUUCCUGGUGUAGCGGUGGAAUGCGCAGAGAUCAGGAGGAAUACCGAAGGCGAAGGCAGUCUUCUAAGCCGAUAUUGACGCUAAACUGCGAAGGUGUGGGGAUCAAACAGGAUUAGAUACCCUGGUAGUCCACACAGUAAAACGAUAAUCACUAGUGUUGGGUUCGUAUAGGACUCGGUGCCGGAGCUAACGCGAUUAGUGAUUCGCCUGGGGGAGUACGAUCGCAAGGUUGAACUCAA
rnacentral:rRNA from 1 species